UUAAAGACACUAAGCAUCUGUGAUUCUGCUCCGAGACAAAGAUGGGAGACCAACCACUCACCCCUUCCUGAUGGAAUGGCCAAGUCGUAGGACGUAGCAGGGAACUGAAAUGUGCAGGAUGCUCUUACCAGAAGUCCUUUGUACAGAUGUCCGUCCCUUACUCGCUCUCCAGACAGAGUGAAUUCCCCAGCAGUACUUCUAGCAAUCUUGCAGCCUAAGGCUUCCUUCAGGCCCUCUGGGCUAGGACAGGUGGGCCUUAUGGGGCCAGCUACUCUUGAUGCUGUCCCUUAAUGAAGUCAAGUUUCCCUGUCCACUGAGUGGACAAGCUCCAUGUGGACUCAUUUAGGGAUGGCGUAGGAGUGGGAAACGUGGAGACCUAAAAAACCCAACCAAGCCUGCUGUAUAGUGUCUUGGUAGGUUUUUAUCCAAACACUUAGCCUGGUGGCUGCUAUAAUGCAAACCUCGAUGGGGAUGCUAUCUCUCAACAAAAUCCCUGGGGCUUGUAAGUGAUGCAUUAACAUGUCAAGAACUAAACUAAAAGGAUGAGACAAACCCACAGAGACCGGGACUCUUCUCUGCUCAUCCCCAUUGUUUUGCAUUACAGCCAGCAUCCCUGACUUAGUAUAUACUCGUGUACUCCACCUGAUGGCUUGCUUUUCGCAUAAAGCCAGGUUUUGUACCUAGACUCUUCGUUGCUGCUCUUGCUUCCUAAGGGCUAUACUGUGCUGUUCGACACACUGCACAUCUGAAGUAUUGACCAAAAGACAGUGCCUGCCAUACAAACGUGUCUCAGAAGAUUCGCCUUACUAGGACUGUUAGUGUUAGGCAAAAGCCAUGGUGUUGGAGAUGUAAAACGUGCUGGAUGGGAGAGGUGUAUGAUGGCCCUGAAUCAAUGUUUCCUUCGGUGUGAAUUUGCCAGCUGGGAAAUAGCAGCUAGAGGGAUUCCUGGUAACUGAGUUUGACUCUCCUCACCCAGCGGUAGAAAUGUCGAGCUCCUCAAAGGGAGUAACAGCAGAGAUGUUUAUGCUCCCUGGGGGAGCAGGCCUUGGCCAUGAAAACUCCAGGGAUUUGCUUAGAGGCCUUGUGGGAAUGUUGCCUCAAGCUCACCAAGGCAGUGCAUCUCUUAUGUCAAGUAAUCUGGUGCAAUGCAUCAUCCCCAAGCCUCCUGCUCAGUGGGUGGCAUUGGAGAUGAUGCUGUCUCAAUCACUGAAUUCCUGUUUUUUCUAUAAAGGACACCAAAUCGAAUGCUUAAAAAGCACUAAUGCAGAACUGGGAGAAACCAAAUAGAGGAUGCUGGGAGGAGGUAGCUCCACAUGGUUGAGCUGUGUUUACAAAUGAAUAUUCGAGCAUCCAUCUGGUGAAAUCUGAUUUCAGUACAGACCUAGUGGAAGAAAGCAAUCCUCCUGCUUUUCAGUUCUGAAAUCCAAAGCAGCACUUUCUUUUUUCCUUCCAUAAGAAUGGCAGACAAAGUGGCUAUGUAAUUGAGGCAAACAUCAGAGUUCUUGAGGAGAUUUCAUUCCCUCUUGCCCAGCGGCUCUGGUCUAGGGUGAGCAGUUGGGAGGGUAGGGUGGUCGUAACGGGUGGAUAUUUUUCUUUGGCCAAAGAUGACUCUGUAUCAGAUGUAUAAAUCUAAGUCUGUCUGUUUAUGACCGAAGUGGGAAAAGAGAUUGAGCAUGCACAAAGGCCGUUGUCUGCUGUUCUGUUUCUUAGUUGUUUAAACAACGUAUGUUUGAUCAAAUGUACAUUCUUAUAAAGCAGUUAUUUAAAUAGAAA